UACGGGGGGGGCAAGCGUUGUUCGGAAUUACUGGGCGUAAAGGGCUCGUAGGCGGCCAACUAAGUCGGAUGUGAAAUCCCCAGGCUCAACCUGGGAACUGCAUCCGAUACUGGAUGGCUUGAAUUUGGGAGAGGGAUGCAGAAUUCCAGGUGUAGCGGUGAAAUGCGUAGAUAUCUGGAGGAAUACCGGUGGCGAAGGCGGCAUCCUGGACCAACAUUGACGCUGAGGAGCGAAAGCUAGGGGAGCAAACGGGAUUAGAAACCCUCGUAGUCC
rnacentral:rRNA from 1 species